rnacentral:rRNA from 1 species
GACGAACGCUGGCGGCGUGCUUAACACAUGCAAGUCGAGCGGUAAGGCCCUUUCGGGGGUACACGAGCGGCGAACGGGUGAGUAACACGUGGGUGACCUGCCCUCAGCUCUGGGAUAAGCCUGGGAAACCGGGUCUAAUACUGGAUAUGACUCCAUGACGCAUGUUGUGGGGUGGAAAGCCCUGUGCGGCUGAGGAUGGGCCCGCGGCCUAUCAGCUUGUUGGUGGGGNGAUGGCCUACCAAGGCGACGACGGGUAGCCGGCCUGAGAGGGCGACCGGCCACACUGGGACUGAGACACGGCCCAGACUCCUACGGGAGGCAGCAGUGGGGAAUCUUGCGCAAUGGGCGGAAGCCUGACGCAGCGACGCCGCGUGAGGGAUGACGGCCU